CCAACGGUUGCCUCCGGCCCGUCUUGAAACACGGACCAAGGAGUCUAACGUAUGUGCGAGUGUGUGAGUGGCAAACUUAUACGCGUAAUGAAAGUGAGGCCGUAUGGCCAUGUUGGGGUCACCAACAACCGACCUUGAUCUUCGGUGAAAGGUUUGAGUAUGAGCAUAUCCGUUAGGACCCGAAAGAUGGUGAACUAUGCCUGAGCAGGGUGAAGCCAGGGGAAACUCUGGUGGAGGCUCGUAGCGAUACUGACGUGCAAAUCGUUCGUCAGACUUGGGUAUAGGGGCGAAAGACUAAUCGAACCAUCUAGUAGCUGGUUCCCUCCGAAGUUUCCCUCAGGAUAGCUAGAGUCUUUAUCAGUUUUGUCAGGUAAAGCGAAUGAUUAGAGGUUCCGGGGAAGUAACUUCCUCGACCUAUUCUCAAACUUUAAAUGGGCAAGAUCCAGUAGUUACUUAAUUGAACUAUUGGGGUCAAUGAGACGACUCUAAGUGGGCCAUUUUUGGUAAGCAGAACUGGCGAUGAGGGAUGAACCUAACGCUCGGUUAAGGUGCUAAACUGCUCGCUCAUCAGAUACCACAAAGGGUGUUGGUCGAUCUUAACAGCAGGACGGUGGUCAUGGAAGUCGAAAUCCGCUAAGGAGUGUGUAACAACUCACCUGCCGAAUCGACUAGCCCCGAAAAUGGAUAGCGCUGAAGCGAGUGACCGAUACCGGGCCAUUGUUGCAAGAUAAUUGGCAACAAUGAGUAGGAGGGCGUGGGGGUUGUGAAGAAGCUUGGACGUGAGUCUGAGUGAAACAGCUUCCAGUGCAGAUCUUGGUGGUAGUAGCAAGUAUUCAAUAAGAGAACAUUGAAGGCCGAAGUGGGGAAGGGUUCCAUGUGAACAGCACUUGGACAUGGGUUAGCCGAUCCUGAGAGACAGGUUAAAUUCCAUCGGAUUGGAGCUUUGGCUCUGUUUCUCGAAAGGGAAGCUGGUUAGUAUUCCAGCGCCGAGACGUGGAUAAUAUGUGGCAACACAAGUGAACUCGGACACGCCAUACGGGACCCCAGGAAGCGUUGUCUUUUCUUUUUAACAGUUCGACUUACCCUGGAAUCAGAUCAUCUGGAGAUAGGGUUUUCGACUGGAUAGCAC
rnacentral:ncRNA from 1 species